GUAUAAGAGACAGCAGUAGCCGCGGUAAUACGUAGGGUGCGAGCGUUAAUCGGAAUUACUGGGCGUAAAGCGUGCGCAGGCGGUUCGUUAAGACAGAUGUGAAAUCCCCGGGCUUAACCUGGGAACUGCAUUUGUGACUGACGGGCUAGAGUAUGGCAGAGGGGGGUAGAAUUCCACGUGUAGCAGUGAAAUGCGUAGAGAUGUGGAGGAAUACCGAUGGCGAAGGCAGCCCCCUGGGCCAAUACUGACGCUCAUGCACGAAAGCGUGGGGAGCAAACAGGAUUAGAUACCCCAGUAGUCCCUGUCUCUUAUAC
rnacentral:rRNA from 1 species